CUAAGGCCGAUGGCGACCGGCGCACGGGUGAGUAACACGUAUCCAACCUGCCCUUUACUCGGGGAUAGCCUUUCGAAAGAAAGAUUAAUACCCGAUAGCAUAAUGAUUCCGCAUGGUUUCAUUAUUAAAGGAUUCCGGUAAAGGAUGGGGAUGCGUUCCAUUAGAUAGUAGGCGGGGUAACGGCCCACCUAGUCUUCGAUGGAUAGGGGUUCUGAGAGGAAGGUCCCCCACAUUGGAACUGAGACACGGUCCAA
rnacentral:rRNA from 1 species